rnacentral:rRNA from 1 species
UACGGAGGGUGCAAGCGUUACUCGGAAUCACUGGGCGUAAAGGACGCGUAGGCGGAUUAUCAAGUCUCUUGUGAAAUCUAACGGCUUAACCGUUAAACUGCUUGGGAAACUGAUAAUCUAGAGUAAGGGAGAGGCAGAUGGAAUUCUUGGUGUAGGGGUAAAAUCCGUAGAGAUCAAGAAGAAUACCCAUUGCGAAAGCGAUCUGCUGGAACUUAACUGACGCUAAUGCGUGAAAGCGUGGGGAGCAAAC